rnacentral:rRNA from 1 species
CUGGGAGGACCAUCUCCUAAGGCUAAAUACUCUCUAGUGACCGAUAGUGAACCAGUACCGUGAGGGAAAGGUGAAAAGCACCCCGGAAGGGGAGUGAAAUAGAACCUGAAACCGUGUGCUUACAAGUAGUCAGAGCCCGUUAAUGGGUGAUGGCGUGCCUUUUGUAGAAUGAACCGGCGAGUUACGAUUUGAUGCAAGGUUAAGCAGUAAAUGUGGAGCCGUAGCGAAAGCGAGUCUGAAUAGGGCGUUUAGUAUUUGGUCGUAGACCCGAAACCAGGUGAUCUACCCUUGGUCAGGUUGAAGUUCAGGUAACACUGAAUGGAGGACCGAACCGACUUACGUUGAAAAGUGAGCGGAUGAACUGAGGGUAGCGGAGAAAUUCCAAUCGAACCUGGAGAUAGCUGGUUCUCUCCGAAAUAGCUUUAGGGCUAGCCUCAAGUGAUGAUUAUUGGAGGUAGAGCACUGUUUGGACGAGGGGCCCCUCUCGGGUUACCGAAUUCAGACAAACUCCGAAUGCCAAUUAAUUUAACUUGGGAGUCAGAACAUGGGUGAUAAGGUCCGUGUUCGAAAGGGAAACAGCCCAGACCACCAGCUAAGGUCCCAAAAUAUAUGUUAAGUGGAAAAGGAUGUGGCGUUGCCCAGACAACUAGGAUGUUGGCUUAGAAGCAGCCAUCAUUUAAAGAGUGCGUAAUAGCUCACUAGUCGAGUGACACUGCGCCGAAAAUGUACCGGGGCUAAACAUAUUACCGAAGCUGUGGAUUGUCCUUUGGACAAUGGUAGGAGAGCGUUCUAAGGGCGUUGAAGCAUGAUCGUAAGGACAUGUGGAGCGCUUAGAAGUGAGAAUGCCGGUGUGAGUAGCGAAAGACGGGUGAGAAUCCCGUCCACCGAUUGACUAAGGUUUCCAGAGGAAGGCUCGUCCGCUCUGGGUUAGUCGGGUCCUAAGCUGAGGCCGACAGGCGUAGGCGAUGGAUAACAGGUUGAUAUUCCUGUACCACCUAUAAUCGUUUUAAUCGAUGGGGGGACGCAGUAGGAUAGGCGAAGCGUGCGAUUGGAUUGCACGUCUAAGCAGUAAGGCUGAGUAUUAGGCAAAUCCGGUACUCGUUAAGGCUGAGCUGUGAUGGGGAGAAGACAUUGUGUCUUCGAGUCGUUGAUUUCACACUGCCGAGAAAAGCCUCUAGAUAGAAAAUAGGUGCCCGUACCGCAAACCGACACAGGUAGUCAAGAUGAGAAUUCUAAGGUGAGCGAGCGAACUCUCGUUAAGGAACUCGGCAAAAUGACCCCGUAACUUCGGGAGAAGGGGUGCUCUUUAGGGUUAACGCCCAGAAGAGCCGCAGUGAAUAGGCCCAAGCGACUGUUUAUCAAAAACACAGGUCUCUGCUAAACCGUAAGGUGAUGUAUAGGGGCUGACGCCUGCCCGGUGCUGGAAGGUUAAGAGGAGUGGUUAGCUUCUGCGAAGCUACGAAUCGAAGCCCCAGUAAACGGCGGCCGUAACUAUAACGGUCCUAAGGUAGCGAAAUUCCUUGUCGGGUAAGUUCCGACCCGCACGAAAGGCGUAACGAUUUGGGCACUGUCUCAACGAGAGACUCGGUGAAAUCAUAGUACCUGUGAAGAUGCAGGUUACCCGCGACAGGACGGAAAGACCCCGUGGAGCUUU